GUCUUUAUAGUUUAAAAAAAACAUUAGUCUUGUAAACUAAAAUUGUAAUCUUAAGACC
rnacentral:tRNA from 1 species